rnacentral:misc_RNA from 1 species
GUAAGAUUCCCAUUCCCCACUGAAAUCUCUGGUUAAGACUUGAAGCUACUUUUCCUGCAUCACUAUUUCUAGCCUUACAGGAUUUUUUUUUCGACUGUAAUAGAAUGCGGAUAUCAACUUUUCAAUCUUUUUAGUCUUUCUGCUAGUUGAUCCAGCUUUUGCUGACACUCUUCUUCCAUUAUUAUUAUAGUCUAAUUAUGAAGUUAGUUUCUUACUCCAGGCAUUAAUAUGAUGAACAAUAUGUCAGUAUUAUCAGUGUACUUUAUGUGAUUCCUUUUAUUUAGUUACCAAAGAUAUCCCUGUAGUGAUGAAUAUUUCUCCCUUUCUUUAGAGGGAAUAUUCAUGGUUGCUCACUUCCAAGUUCGAUCUUUUAGAUUGAGUGAUUUUAUGGCACUAGAAACUUUUUGAUUGAAAAAAGUCUUGGAGUUUGAAUCCUAUGCAUCCCAACAAAGGUGGACACGGAGUAAGGUAAUUAAAUUUACUAAUUCUGAUAUUAAACUUUUUCUUUUCCUGGAUAAUAGCUGUGAGAAACUGUCACUGAAGGUGCUGCCAAAUGAACAGAUAUAUGCGGGCACAGGGAUCAAUAAUGCAGUUUAUUUUACCACAAUCUGCCUAUAUAGGUUAAUAUUUUUAAACGGCAAACAUCUGUACAGAUAUUUUUGUUAAAUAAUUCAUCAUUUGCCCCUAUGGACAUAUUCAAUCUUUCUUGGAUUUUGCUUCUUUUGGCAAAUGACAAUACAAAUCCAGUAAUUGAGGUGCUCUUAGAAGUAGAGUAAUGCCAUUAUAAGGUGUACUGUUAUAUGAGAUAUUAUGAACUUAAGUUGUCUGUGCCACCAUCAAAAUAUUUU